UGAGGAAUAUUGCACAAUGGGCGCAAGCCUGAUGCAGCAACGCCGCGUGAGGGACGAAGGCCUUCGGGUCGUAAACCUCUUUUCUGAGGGACGAGUAAGGACGGUACCUCAGGAAUAAGUCUCGGCUAACUACGUGCCAGCAGCCGCGGUAAAACGUAGGAGGCGAGCGUUAUCCGGAUCUACUGGGCGUAAAGCGUACGCAGGUGGCUUCGUGAGUCGGACAUGAAAGCUCCUGGCUUAACUGGGGGAGGUUGUUCGAUACUGCGGGGCUUGAGGUUGGGAGAGGGACGUGGAAUUCCCGGUGUAGGGGUGGAAUGCGUAGAUAUCGGGAGGAACACCAGUGGCGCAAGCGGCGUCCUGGCCCACACCUGACGCUGAGGUACGAAAGCGUGGGUAGCAAACAG
rnacentral:rRNA from 1 species